CGCCUGUUUAUCAAAAACAUGGCUUUCUGAAAAGCAUAGGGAGUCGUGCCUUCCCAGUGGGCAUACGAGCCUAAACGGACGCGGUAAAUCGUGCUAAGGUAGCUAAGUUAUGGCCUAUUAAUUGUAGGUCUUGUGAAUGGUUUGACGAGCCUCCAACUGUCUCUAGGUUGUUUUGGUGAACUUGAGUUGAAUGUGUAAAUGCCUUCGUGGGUAAGAAAGACGAGAAGACCCCGUGAAGUUAAAAAUUUUAGCGUAUGGAGUGUUAUUCCCUGUUGGUGAAGGCUAGAGGGUUAAGGGAUUUGGUUGGUUUCUAAGUGAGGGGGUGUAGUGAAUGGUUUUUGCUGGGGCAGCAAAAGGGCAAAUUUAGACCUUAAUUGUAUUUAAAACGGGUGCGUUACGACCCAUAAUUAAAAAGGUGUGAUUAGCAGAAGGAGUUACUCCGGGGAUAACAGCGUUAUUCGUCCUGAGAGUUCUUAUUGGUGGACGGGUUUGCGACCUCGAUGUUGGCUCUGGAUAUCCUGGGGCUUGCAGGCGGUCCCAAGGGUUGGUUCGUUC
rnacentral:rRNA from 1 species